ACCCGCACAAGCGGUGGAUGAUGUGGAUUAAUCGAUGCAACGCGAAAACCUUACCUACCCUUGACAUGUCCGGAAUCCCGAAGAGAUUUGGGAGUGCUCGCAAGAGAGCCGGAACACAGGUGCUGCAUGGCUGUCGUCAGCUCGUGUCGUGAGAUGUUGGGUUAAGUCCCGCAACGAGCGCAACCCUUGUCAUUAGUUGCCAUCAUUUGGUUGGGCACUCUAAUGAGACUGCCGGUGACAAACCGGAGGAAGGUGGGGAUGACGUCAAGUCCUCAUGGCCCUUAUGGGUAGGGCUUCACACGUCAUACAAUGGUCGGUACAGAGGGUUGCCAACCCGCGAGGGGGAGCUAAUCCCACAAAGCCGAUCGUAGUCCGGACCGCAGUCUGCAACUCGACUGCGUGAAGUCGGAAUCGCUAGUAAUCGUGGAUCAGCAUGUCACGGUGAAUACGUUCCCGGGUCUU
rnacentral:rRNA from 1 species